UUAAGCAUAUCAAUAAGCGGAGGAAAAGAAACCAACAGGGAUUGCCCUAGUAACGGCGAGUGAAGCGGCAACAGCUCAAAUUUGAAAUCUGGCACUUGUGCCCGAGUUGUAAUUUGUAGAGGAUGCUUUUGGCGACGCGCCUUCCGAGUUCCCUGGAACGGGACGCCAUAGAGGGUGAGAGCCCCGUCCGGUCGUGCGCCUAGCCUCUGUAAAGCUCCUUCGACGAGUCGAGUAGUUUGGGAAUGCUGCUCUAAAUGGGAGGUAUACGUCUUCUAAAGCUAAAUACCGGCCAGAGACCGAUAGCGCACAAGUAGAGUGAUCGAAAGAUGAAAAGCACUUUGAAAAGAGGGUUAAAUAGUACGUGAAAUUGCUGAAAGGGAAGCGCUUAUGACCAGACUUGGGCGCGGCGGAUCAUCCGGCGUUCUCGCCGGUGCACUCCACCGCCCCAGGCCAGCAUCAGUUCGCGCCGGGGGACAAAGGCUUCGGGAAUGUGGCUCCCUCGGGAGUGUUAUAGCCCGUUGCGUAAUACCCUGGUGCGGACUGAGGUCCGCGCUCUGCAAGGAUGCUGGCGUAAUGGUCAUCAGUGACCCGUCUUGAAACACGGACCAAGGA
rnacentral:rRNA from 1 species